rnacentral:rRNA from 1 species
ACGGGGUGCAGCAGGCGCGAAACCUUCACAAUGUGCGAAAGCGCGAUGAGGGGAUCCCAAGUGCUUGCUCGUAAGAGUAAGCUGUUUUUAUGUCUAAAAAGCAUAGAGAGUAAGGGCUGGGUAAGACGGGUGCCAGCCGCCGCGGUAAUACCUGCAGCUCAAGUAGUGACCGCUAUUAUUGGGCCUAAAACGUUCGUAGCCGGUUUGAUAAAUGCCUGGGUAAAUAGUGUAGCUUAACUAUACGAAUUCCGGGUAGACUGUUAAACUUGAGACCGGGAGAGGCUAGAGGUACUCCUGGGGUAGAGGUGAAAUUCUGUAAUCCUGAGGGGACCACCAGUGGCGAAGGCGUCUAGCUAGAACGGGUCUGACGGUGAGGAACGAAGCCCUGGGGCGCGAACCGGAUUAGAUACCCGGGUAGUCCAGGGUGUAAACGCUGCUUGCUUGAUGUUAGUUGGGCUCCGAGCCCAAUUAGUGUCGGAGAGAAGUUGUUAAGCAAGCUGCCUGGGAAGUACGAUCGCAAGAUUGAAACUUAAAGGAAUUGGCGGGGGAGCACAGCAACGGGUGGAGCGUGCGGUUUAAUUGGAUUCA